rnacentral:rRNA from 1 species
UACGAAGGGUGCAAGCGUUACUCGGAAUUACUGGGCGUAAAGCGUGCGUAGGUGGUUCGUUAAGUCUGAUGUGAAAGCCCUGGGCUCAACCUGGGAAUGGCAUUGGAAACUGGCGACCUAGAGUGCGGUAGAGGGUAGUGGAAUUCCCGGUGUAGCAGUGAAAUGCGUAGAGAUCGGGAGGAACAUCUGUGGCGAAGGCGGCUCACUGGCACGAUACUGACGCUGAGGUGCGAAAGCGUGGGGAGCAAACAGG